rnacentral:rRNA from 1 species
UACGGAGGAUGCAAGCGUUGUCCGGAAUCAUUGGGCGUAAAGAGCGUGUAGGCGGUCCGGUAAGUCAGCUGUGAAAGUCAAGGGCUCAACCCUUGAAAGCCGGUUGAUACUGUCGGGCUAGAGUCCGGAAGAGGCGAGUGGAAUUCCCGGUGUAGCGGUGAAAUGCGCAGAUAUCGGGAGGAACACCAAUGGCGAAGGCAGCUCGCUGGGACGGUACUGACGCUGAGACGCGAAAGCGUGGGGAGCAAACAGG